AGCUUGGCGAAGUGGCAGUAUCGUAGCCAAUGAGGUUUAUCCAAGGCAUGAUUAUUGCUAAUUUAAAACUUUUCCCGAUACCACAUCAUGACAACUUGCAGUAUAGUUUGACAGUCUAUAUGGAGA
ensembl:snRNA U4 U4 spliceosomal RNA